rnacentral:rRNA from 1 species
GACGUAGGGGGCGAGCGUUGUCCGGAUUUAUUGGGCGUAAAGAGCGCGUAGGCGGCCCGUUAAGUCGGAUGUGAAAACCCGUGGCUCAACCACGGGCCUGCAUCCGAUACUGGCGGGCUCGAGGCAGGCAGGGGAGAUCGGAAUUCCUGGUGUAGCGGUGAAAUGCGCAGAUAUCAGGAGGAACACCAAUGGCGAAGGCAGCUCGCUGGGACGUGACUGACGCUGGAGACGCGAAAGCGUGGGAGCAAACAGG